rnacentral:rRNA from 1 species
UACGUAGGGUGCAAGCGUUGUCCGGAAUUAUUGGGCGUAAAGAGCUCGUAGGCGGUCUGUCGCGUCUGCUGUGAAAACUCGGGGCUUAACCCCGGGCCUGCAGUGGGUACGGGCAGACUAGAGUGCGGUAGGGGAGACUGGAAUUCCUGGUGUAGCGGUGAAAUGCGCAGAUAUCAGGAGGAACACCGGUGGCGAAGGCGGGUCUCUGGGCCGGUACUGACGCUGAGGAGCGAAAGCGUGGGGAGCGAACAGG